AGGAGCUCGGCUGAUCCCUUGGGUCGGUGUAUCGGGGGUGCCGUCUGGUCGGCUGGAGUCCGGGCCACCAUGCGGUUACGGCAGCUGUGGGGCUCGGUGCGCUGUGUGGUGCUGGGAAUGGUGCAUCUACAGGCGCUGCCAGGAGCUCCGCUGCACCGGUUCUCCUUGGCUCAGGUAAUGCGGAAGGCGUGCGAGGAAGCGGCGAUCUACGUCGAUGCCGGGAUCGAUGGACUAAUUGUGGAAAAUAUGCACGAUAUUCCUUACAGUACAAAUGUUGGUCCAGAAGUGACUGCUGUCAUGGCGACUAUUUGUGCUGCUGUGAGACAGUCCCAUCCCACACUUCCUCUGGGUGUUCAGAUUCUUUCUGCAGCCAAUCAACAAGCAUUGGCAGUUGCAUUUGCAGCAGGUGCUGAUUUUAUUCGAGCCGAAGGAUUUGUAUUCUCACAAGUCUCAGAUGAAGGGUUUCUGGAUGCAUGUGCUGGUGAUCUUCUCAGAUAUCGCAGGCAAAUAGGAGCUGAAAACAUUCAAAUCUUUACUGAUAUUAAGAAAAAACACAGCUCACAUGCUGUGACGUCAGAUAUCAGUGUAUCAGAUACCGGUAGGGCUGCUGAAUUCUUCCUGUCUGAUGGUGUCAUACUGACUGGAAUAGCCACUGGGAUGGAGGCAAAUCCUGCAGAACUGAAAGAGGUUAAACAGGCUUUAAAAAUUCCUGUCCUCAUCGGCUCUGGUGUGACCUAUGAAAACAUGGAGCAGUACAUGGAUGCAGAUGCCUUCAUUGUUGGUUCACAUUUUAAAAAAGCAGGAUACUGGGCCAAUGAACUUGAACCUGAACGGAUUAAGAAAUUUAUGACAAAAAUGCAUCAGCUGAGGAAAUGAAACACAAAACCGUGAGGUCAGUGUGGCGAUUCUGCAGUUAGAGCUGUUGCCUCAACUCCAGGAGCCUGGGUUUGAACCUGACCUCAGAUGCUGUGUGUGUAGACUACAAACUUCCCACUGGCGUACUCCAGAAAAUAACUCAAUCAAGGAAAACAUCCCAUUGAUGGACCAAAUAAACAGAUGCACAUUCCUGUUUUUCCCAUAAAUCCACUUCACAGCUUGGUUCUAGAUCUUGCACUUGGCCCAGAGGAAAGUGGAGGAACUUCCAUUGACCCAAAUGUUUUGCAGCAUGAAGUGAAUUUGUUCUGCAAUCUUUGACCACUGCUUUGAAUCGCCUAGAUCCAUAAAAUGAAAGAGGGGAGCACGGUCAGAAACAUAACCUGCAUUGGAAAUAUUGCUGCCACUGAAGAUAGAUUACAAUAGCUUUUGGUCCUGAUUGAGUGUAGGUUGAAGUCAGCAUCAAAGCAUGAGAAUGUGUUGGCUACACAGUUAAAUUUCUAGAAAAAAAGAUAUAAUAUUCUAAUGACCAUGUGGAGAGGGAUUGUUUUGCAAAUGAACAUAGGUCUUGGCCUCAAAGUAUUUAAUGGGAAUGUGGAACAGGACCUUUCACAUUGCAUCACACUUUGGUUUCGCGACAGAAGGAUGGUAAACUGAGGUUCAGGUGAGAUGGUAAACUGAGGUUCAGCUGCCCUCCUGAGUGACCAUAAGAUCCUAUGAUAUUAUUUGAACAAAUGCAAGUGAGUUCCUUGAGUGGUGCAUUCAUCAUUGUUUGUGGGACUUUGAUGUGUGCGAAGUAGCUUCCAAUUUUUUUACACUAUUAUGGUGACCGUAACUACACAACCUUGGCAGACUUGUUAUUUUUUUGAUUAAUAACAACAGGAAAAAAAAGUCAUUUAUUUUUAGGCAACAACUUCCAUUUUUACCAAAUUCACUAUUGAGGAUUGCACAAAAUUAAGGGCUGAGGGGAUCAAGUCAAUGCAGGUAAACCAUUAAAACCUGUGAAAGUUCAAAAUGCUGGUCAAUAAACCUGCUUCAUCGCUGCUAUUUUAAACUUGUUUUCUGCCGAAAAUGGCUGCUCAGCAACUGUUGCUGUUUACUUGCAGCCAUGGUGCCUCAUGAUGUUGGGGUGUCUGUGUGUACUGCACAGCAGUGUGACAAGCCAAUGUGUGAGGAAAGUGUAGGAUGCGUUGGCGGCAUUCAAGCUGCUGCUGGUUUGUCAGGACACAGGUCCUACGCAGCUCCAGGAGGAGAAGGCAAGGAGGAUAAAGAUGAAGAAGUGGAGGAGGAGAUGGCCUUCGUCCUGGUUAUCCCAGCUGCAGCCCAUUUCACAAUUUGGAACAACCAGAGGCAGCCGGUUCACAACCUGCCAUUCAUUUUUGAGAAUGACCUAGGGCUUGGCCAGAAACAAAUCGAGCUUCUCCUCCUUCCUCACGCAUUGCCGUGUUGACCUAAGAUCCAACGGAGUGCCUGCUCCUCAGGCUGUCUGCCCCAUUUUGAAGGUUUCUGCCAUUUACUUCUCCCAUUUAUUUCCAUGCCAAUUAUUGUCGAUUAAAAUAAUUUUCAGACUGCCUUAAAGAUUUGGGUGAAAGCUACAUUUGUGUAUGUUUACUCAUGAGAAUUAUAACCCAUUAAGAAUAAAGGUACACCUUUGGCUGUGAAAUAUUUUGUUAUGUCCCAAGGUCACGAAAGAUGCAUUAACAAUCAAGUUCUGUUUCCUUUCUACAAAUCAGUUGAAUCCCUUGAACUGACCGAUGUCCCCAGUCAUGUUUUCCUUUGGAAAGUGUCAACUUCCAAAGCUUUCUAAUAAUGCCAAGUCGUAUCAGUAAUAAUGCCAGUCACAAGUAUACAUGUGGACUACAGGAAAUAUCAUGCAGUGCACCCUAAAUAUGAUG